UACAGAGGAUGCAAGCGUUAUCCGGAGUUACUGGGCGUAAAGCGCACGCAGGCGGUCUGCUAAGUUUGGAGUGACAGUUGGUGGCUUAACUGCCAAAGUGCUUCGAAAACUGACAGACUUGAGGGCUUCAGAGGGACACGGAAUUCCGGGUGGAGUGGUGAAAUGCGUAGAGAUCCGGAGGAACACCAAAGGCGAAGGCAGUGUCCUGGGGAGUACCCGACGCUCAGGUGCGAAAGCCAGGGGAGCGAACGGG
rnacentral:rRNA from 1 species